rnacentral:rRNA from 1 species
CCUACGGGUGGCAGCAGUGAGGAAUAUUGGUCAAUGGACGAGAGUCUGAACCAGCCAAGUAGCGUGAAGGAUGACUGCCCUAUGGGUUGUAAACUUCUUUUAUAUGGGAGUAAAAUGUUCCACGUGUGGGAUUUUGUAUGUACCUUAUUAAUAAGGAUCGGCUAACUCCGUGCCAGCAGCCUCGGUAAUACGGAGGAUACGAGCUUUAUCCGGUUUUAUUGGGUUUAAAGGGAGCGUAGGUGGAUUGUUAAGUCAGUUGUGAAAGUUUGCGGAUCAACCGUAAAAUUGCAGUUGAAACUGGCAGUCUUGAGUACAGUAGAGGUGGGCGGAAUUCGUGGUGUAGCGGUGAAAUGCGUAGAUAUCACGAAGAACUCCGAUUGCGAAGGCAGUUCACUGGACUGCAACUGACACUGAGGCUCGAAAGUGUGGGUAUCAAACAGGAUUAGAUACCCGAGUAGUC